rnacentral:rRNA from 1 species
AUACGUAGGUGGCAAGCGUUGUCCGGAAUUACUGGGUGUAAAGGGCGUGUAGGCGGGAGGAUAAGUCAGAUGUGAAAACCCGGGGCUCAACUUCGGGAGUGCAUCUGAAACUAUACUUCUUGAGUGCUGGCGAGGAAAGCGGAAUUCCUAGUGUAGCGGUGAAAUGCGUAGAUAUUAGGAGGAACACCAGUGGCGAAGGCGGCUUUCUGGACAGUAACUGACGCUGAGGCGCGAAAGCGUGGGGAGCAAACAGGAUUAGAUACCCUGGUAGUCCACGCCGUAAACGAUGGAUACUAGGUGUAGGAGGUAUCGACCCCUUCUGUGCCGGAGUUAACACAAUAAGUAUCCCACCUGGGGAGUACGGCCGCAAGGCUGAA